rnacentral:rRNA from 1 species
UACGUAGGGCGCGAGCGUUGUCCGGAAUUAUUGGGCGUAAAGAGCUCGUAGGCGGCCUGUUGCGUCCGCUGUGAAAUCCCAGGGCUCAACCCUGGGCGUGCAGUGGAUACGGGCAGGCUGGAGGCAGGCAGGGGAGAACGGAAUUCCCGGUGUAGCGGUGAAAUGCGCAGAUAUCAGGAGGAACACCGGUGGCGAAGGCGGGUCUCUGGGCCGAUAUUGACGCUGAGGAGCGAAAGCGUGGGGAGCGAACAGG